CUGUCUCGAUCUACGUGUGCUUUAUAGUAGUCAACAAAUUGAAGAUUUUACGGGAUUAAUCCAAUGACCAUACCACAAACGUGACCGCUGUAGCUGCAGAAACGCUAUUGACAGAUGAAGUCUACUUCCCCAACGUAGUUGCAUUGCAUAUUGACAAUGGACAUGCUUGCCUGCAUCAAGAUUCAAUAUGUUCUCCAUCAACAGAAUUCUUAACAUCCACUGGCGGGACCAUUAUAAUCAGGGAGGUAUACGGCAAUCUACCGCCGUCCGAGACAGUUAUGCAGAGACGUCUUCAGUUUGCCGUCACUGUUUACUACAGACGAUCAACCUAUAUCGCACCUGGUCUUCUGGAAUCCUCCUGGCGGACAUCCAAACCGCGGCAGGAGGUAAAUAAACUACCCAGACACCAUCACCAGAGACACUUAUCUCAAUCAAAUCGAGACCCAACAACUCAUGAGGGAUAAGGCAACCGGGCACCACACCAUCAAAGCUGCUUCUACUAAUCCGU